AUGACCUCUGACACCAUAAAAAUUCCGUAAAAUGAUUUAUUUCACAAACUGUAAUGCAGAGAGAACACUGCUGGAAGUGGCUGGCUUUGGUACUGGUCUAGAUUUCUGGCCGUAGGUGGAGUAAAAGCAGGGUGUCUUGGCGGAGUCAGCGAUUGCCUGUUGGAGGGAAGAGGGCAUGCAAACGAUCCAGGACAUUCAGAAGGUUCUCGGCCACCACAGCCUGUGUGCCCUGCUCCUUCUCACCCUCAGGAGUCUCCAGGAGGCUGAGCACCUGCAUGCAGCUAGAGGAGUGCCUCCCACAGUGGCCAGGAUGCUCGGACCUGGGGCCCAUGUGACACAGAAGCCCAGAGACCUCAGGCACCCCCUUGACACCUCUUUGUGGCGAGAACACAUAGGAGCAAACGGAGCCCUGCCCGGACUGUACUACAGCCACUCGUGGACCUCGCGGGGCCACCUGGUGGUCUUUUCCCUGGUCCCAGAUGUAAUUAUGUGGUAAUUAGCCUAUCCCGGCACCGAUUCCUCUUUGGCAGGUUAAGUGAAAACCACUAAGAUGUCCCCGUGCUAACCAAGAGGGAGGAUGAGAGCGAUUCUGCACCUGGGGGAGCAUCCAGAAAUUGGUGCCACCCUAAGAGACCUAAAGGAAGCAGGACGGUGGAUUUCUCCAUUUAAUUCUAUCUGCCACCCCUGGCACAGAUCAGAGACAGCCUGAGGAUGUGUGUGGGCCACGCCAUCCCACAUGUGAUAUGCUGGACAUAGGAUAUUUGGUGUGUUCUUUUCCAUCUCUACCAGAAAGAGGGUCGGAGGCAGCUUGCCCUCCCUGGGAACAGACAUGAGCACAUGUUUACAUUCUUCCGCCAGGGCUGUGGUUUCCACCUCUGCACUGAGGUAGCCCACACUGACCUGGGUCAGCUGGGCAUCAACUGGGUACACUAGAUUGAUGGCAUCAAGCCGUUUGCACCUAAUGGGUGGGAGGUGGCUAGUGCACAGGGUCCCCAGCCUCAGAGGGUGUGAGCUAAGGCUGACUGAAAUUCUGGUGUCCACUGCAUGGGUAGAGUGACUAGGGGGCUAGAUACAGGGAGCGGGGGCAUCCAUUCAGAGUAACAGACAGCUUGUCCUGUCUUGCAGUUCUCACUGCUGAGAAGGAACAAUAAUCCUUACAUCUCUUGGGUUCUGGAGGCAGGAUCUUCCCUGUUGAGGAAUAUUGCUUCAACGUAUAACCUGGAGGUUGAGAAAGGUGGCCAGUUUAUGUGGGGAAAGAGCCUUGUCCUCUGGGCCAUGUGACCUAGGAGACAUUAUGCAUUAGAGUCUCUGUUGUAGAAAAAAGAUGCCACACAGAGCUCACAGCGAACAUGGAGGGGACAGUCUCUUCACCAGGGUUGAGAGAGGGCCAUGCCAUCGCAGUGGAGAAUGAUGCACCUGCAGAGAAGCAGCCCUUGGCUCUUACUGGCUCUGCUAAUGUGGAGCAUCGAACCACAGCUACCAGCAGGCCAUGUGAC
rnacentral:lncRNA from 1 species